GAUGAACGCUGGCGGCGUGCCUAAUACAUGCAAGUCGAGCGAACAGACGAGGAGCUUGCUCCUUUGACGUUAGCGGCGGACGGGUGAGUAACACGUAGGUAACCUACCUAUAAGUCUGGGAUAACUUCGGGAAACCGGAGCUAAUACCGCAUAAUAUUUCGAACCGCAUGGUUCGAUAGUGGAAGAUGGCUUUGCUAUCACUUAUAGAUGGACCCGCGCCGUAUUAGCUAGUUGGUAAGGUAACGGCUUACCAAGGCAACGAUACGUAGCCGACCUGAGAGGGUGAUCGGCCACACUGGAAGUGAGACACGGUCCAGACGCCUACGGGAGGCAGCAGUAGGGAAUCUUCCGCAAUGGGCGAAAGCCUGACGGAGCAACGCCGCGUGAGUGAUGAAGGUCUUCGGAGCGUAAAACUCUGUUAUUGGGGAAGAACAAACGUGGAAGUAACUGUGCACGUCUUGACGGUACCUAAUCAAAAAGCCACGGCUAACUACGUG
rnacentral:rRNA from 1 species